rnacentral:rRNA from 1 species
GGGUCAGUAGGUUGGUCGUGCCACCGGUACGUACUGGUCUCACUGAUUCCUCCUUCCCGAAGAACCGUAAUGCCAUUAAUUUGGUGUUGCGGGGAAACAGGACUGUUACUUUGAAAAUAUUAGAGUGUUUAAAGCAAGCUAACGCUUGAAUACAUUAGCAUGGAAUAAUGAAAUAGGACGAUCGAUCCUAUUUUGUUGGUUUCUAGGAUUGACGUA